GUGCAUAGGACUGCAGAUUUUUUGUCUUUUGACACUGAAAUAACAAAGCUUACUAAUCUCCGGGCAGGGGAGUAUCCCAACUAAUGGUAACAACCACAAAUUCCUUGGUUGCUUCUUUUUAAAUCGCCAGAACCAUGAUAAAUCGCAAACAAUAGUCAACAACGUUAACAUGUUCUCCACACUUUGGACCACCAUUUUGUAAUACCCCGAUUUUUUCCAAAAUAAAUAAUAAAAAUAAUAAUCCUGAAAUCCUCAUUUAUUAACCUUCAUGAACCGUCUCCAA
rnacentral:lncRNA from 1 species